GACGAACGUUGGCGGCGUGCUUAACACAUGCAAGUCGAACGGAAAGGCCCUGCUUUUGUGGGGUGCUCGAGUGGCGAACGGGUGAGUAACACGUGAGUAACCUGCCCUUGACUUUGGGAUAACUUCAGGAAACUGGGGCUAAUACCGGAUAGGAGCUCCUGCUGCAUGGUGGGGGUUGGAAAGUUUCGGCGGUUGGGGAUGGACUCGCGGCUUAUCAGCUUGUUGGUGGGGUAGUGGCUUACCAAGGCUUUGACGGGUAGCCGGCCUGAGAGGGUGACCGGCCACAUUGGGACUGAGAUACGGCCCAGACUCCUACGGGAGGCAGCAGUGGGGAAUAUUGCACAAUGGGCGGAAGCCUGAUGCAGCAACGCCGCGUGCGGGAUGACGGCCUUCGGGUUGUAAACCGCUUUCGCCUGUGACGAAGCGUGAGUGACGGUAAUGGGUAAAGAAGCACCGGCUAACUACGUGCCAGCAGCCGCGGUGAUACGUAGGGUGCGAGCGUUGUCCGGAUUUAUUGGGCGUAAAGGGCUCGUAGGUGGUUGAUCGCGUCGGAAGUGUAAUCUUGGGGCUUAACCCUGAGCGUGCUUUCGAUACGGGUUGACUUGAGGAAGGUAGGGGAGAAUGGAAUUCCUGGUGGAGCGGUGGAAUGCGCAGAUAUCAGGAGGAACACCAGUGGCGAAGGCGGUUCUCUGGGCCUUUCCUGACGCUGAGGAGCGAAAGCGUGGGGAGCGAACAGGCUUAGAUACCCUGGUAGUCCACGCUGUAAACGGUGGGUACUAGGUGUGGGGUCCAUUCCACGGGUUCCGUGCCGUAGCUAACGCUUUAAGUACCCCGCCUGGGGAGUACGGCCGCAAGGCUAAAACUCAAAGGAAUUGACGGGGCCCCGCACAAGCGGCGGAGCAUGCGGAUUAAUUCGAUGCAACGCGUAGAACCUUACCUGGGUUUGACAUGGAUCGGGAGUGCUCAGAGAUGGGUGUGCCUCUUUUGGGGUCGGUUCACAGGUGGUGCAUGGCUGUCGUCAGCUCGUGUCGUGAGAUGUUGGGUUAAGUCCCGCAACGAGCGCAACCCUUAUUCACUGUUGCCAGCACGUUAUGGUGGGGACUCAGUGGAGACCGCCGGGGUCAACUCGGAGGAAGGUGGGGAUGACGUCAAGUCAUCAUGCCCCUUAUGUCCAGGGCUUCACGCAUGCUACAAUGGCUGGUACAGAGAGUGGCGAGCCUGUGAGGGUGAGCGAAUCUCGGAAAGCCGGUCUCAGUUCGGAUUGGGGUCUGCAACUCGACCUCAUGAAGUCGGAGUCGCUAGUAAUCGCAGAUCAGCAACGCUGCGGUGAAUACGUUCCCGGGGCU
rnacentral:rRNA from 1 species